UACGAAGUGGGCUAGCGUUGCUCGGAAUCACUGGGCGUAAAGGGCGCGUAGGCGGCCGAUUAAGUCGGGGGUGAAAGCCUGUGGCUCAACCACAGAAUUGCCUUCGAUACUGGUUGGCUUGAGACCGGAAGAGGACAGCGGAACUGCGAGUGUAGAGGUGAAAUUCGUAGAUAUUCGCAAGAACACCAGUGGCGAAGGCGGCUGUCUGGUCCGGUUCUGACGCUGAGGCGCGAAAGCGUGGGGAGCAAACAGG
rnacentral:rRNA from 1 species